rnacentral:rRNA from 1 species
UACGAGAGGCGCAAACGUUAUUCGGAUUUACUGGGCUUAAAGAGUUCGUAGGCGGCGCAGAAAGUAGGGUGUGAAAGCCCUCGGCUCAACCGAGGAAUUGCGCUCUAAACUACUGUGCUUGAGGAAGCUAGAGGUGAGCGGAACUGAUGGUGGAGCGGUGAAAUGCGUUGAUAUCAUCAGGAACACCGGAGGCGAAGGCGGCUCACUGGGGCUUAUCUGACGCUGCUAGGACGAAAGCGUGGGGAGCAAACAGG